GUUUGAUCCUGGCUCAGGAUGAACGCUGGGUGCGUGCUUAACACAUGCAAGUCGAACGAACCUUCGGGUUAGUGGCGGACGGGUGAGUAACGCGCGGGAACCUGCCCUCAGGAGGGGGAUAACGGUUGGAAACGGCCGCUAAUACCCCAUAUGCCGAGAGGUGAAAUGAAUUUCGCCUGAGGAUGGGCCCGCGUCUGAUUAGCAAGUUGGUGGGGUAAGAGCCUACCAAGGCGACGAUCAGUAGCUGGUCUGAGAGGAUGAUCAGCCACACUGGGACUGAGACACGGCCCAGACUCCUACGGGAGGCAGCAGUGGGGAAUUUUCCGCAAUGGGCGAAAGCCUGACGGAGCAACGCCGCGUGAGGGAUGAAGGCCUCUGGGCUGUAAACCUCUUUUCUCAAGGAAGAAGACCUGACGGUACUUGAGGAAUAAGCCACGGCUAAUUCCGUGCCAGCAGCCGCGGUAAUACGGGAGUGGCAAGCGUUAUCCGGAAUUAUUGGGCGUAAAGCGUCCGCAGGUGGCCCUGUAAGUCUGUCGUUAAAGCGUGGAGCUUAACUCCAUUUAAGCGAUGGAAACUACAGGGCUAGAGUGUGGUAGGGGCAGAGGGAAUUCCCGGUGUAGCGGUGAAAUGCGUAGAUAUCGGGAAGAACACCAGUGGCGAAGGCGCUCUGCUGGGCCAUCACUGACACUCAUGGACGAAAGCCAGGGGAGCGAAAGGGAUUAGAUACCCCUGUAGUCCUGGCCGUAAACGAUGAACACUAGGUGUCGGGGGAAUCGACCCCCUCGGUGUCGUAGCCAACGCGUUAAGUGUUCCGCCUGGGGAGUACGCACGCAAGUGUGAAACUCAAAGGAAUUGACGGGGGCCCGCACAAGCGGUGGAGUAUGUGGUUUAAUUCGAUGCAACGCGAAGAACCUUACCAGGGUUUGACAUCCUGCGAAUCCCUUGGAAACGAGGGAGUGCCUUCGGGAGCGCAGAGACAGGUGGUGCAUGGCUGUCGUCAGCUCGUGUCGUGAGAUGUUGGGUUAAGUCCCGCAACGAGCGCAACCCACGUCGUUAGUUGCCAGCAUUCAGUUGGGCACUCUAGCGAGAUCGCCGGUGAUAAACCGGAGGAAGGUGUGGAUGACGUCAAGUCAUCAUGCCCCUUACAUCCUGGGCUACACACGUACUACAAUGCUACGGACAAAGGGCAGCGAUCCCGCGAGGGCUAGCAAAUCCCAUAAACCGUGGCUCAGUUCAGAUCGUAGGCUGCAACUCGCCUACGUGAAGGAGGAAUCGCUAGUAAUCGCAGGUCAGCAUACUGCGGUGAAUACGUUCCCGGGCCUUGUACACACCGCCCGUCACACCAUGGAAGUUGGCCACGCCCGAAGUCGUUACUCCAACC
rnacentral:rRNA from 1 species